GAUGUGUGGCAGUGUGGUUAGCUGGUUGUGUAAUAUAAACAACAACCACUGAUUGCACUGCCCAUACAUC
ncrna:Tetranychus urticae (two-spotted spider mite) microRNA tur-mir-34 precursor